rnacentral:rRNA from 1 species
AGUGAACGCUGGCGGUAGGCCUAACACAUGCAAGUCGAACGGCAGCACAGUAAGAGCUUGCUCUUACGGGUGGCGAGUGGCGGACGGGUGAGGAAUACAUCGGAAUCUACUUUUUCGUGGGGGAUAACGUAGGGAAACUUACGCUAAUACCGCAUACGACCUACGGGUGAAAGCAGGGGAUCUUCGGACCUUGCGCGAUUGAAUGAGCCGAUGUCGGAUCAGCUAGUUGGCGGGGUAAAGGCCCACCAAGGCGACGAUCCGUAGCUGGUCUGAGAGGAUGAUCAGCCACACUGGAACUGAGACACGGUCCAGACUCCUACGGGAGACAGCAGUGGGGAAUAUUGGACAAUGGGCGCAAGCCUGAUCCAGCCAUACCGCGUGGGUGAAGAAGGCCUUCGGGUUGUAAAGCCCUUUUGUUGGGAAAGAAAAGCAGCAGGUUAAUACCCCGCUGUUCUGACGGUACCCAAAGAAUAAGCACCGGCUAACUUCGUG